ACGCUGGCGGUAGGCCUAACACAUGCAAGUCGAACGGCAGCACAGUAAGAGCUUGCUCUUAUGGGUGGCGAGUGGCGGACGGGUGAGGAAUACAUCGGAAUCUACCUUUUCGUGGGGGAUAACGUAGGGAAACUUACGCUAAUACCGCAUACGACCUUCGGGUGAAAGCAGGGGACCUUCGGGCCUUGCGCGGAUAGAUGAGCCGAUGUCGGAUUAGCUAGUUGGCGGGGUAAAGGCCCACCAAGGCGACGAUCCGUAGCUGGUCUGAGAGGAUGAUCAGCCACACUGGAACUGAGACACGGUCCAGACUCCUACGGGAGGCAGCAGUGGGGAAUAUUGGACAAUGGGCGCAAGCCUGAUCCAGCCAUACCGCGUGGGUGAAGAAGGCCUUCGGGUUGUAAAGCCCUUUUGUUGGGAAAGAAAAGCAGUCGGCUAAUACCCGGUUGUUCUGACGGUACCCAAAGAAUAAGCACCGGCUAACUUCGUGCCAGCAGCCGCGGUAAUACGAAGGGUGCAAGCGUUACUCGGAAUUACUGGGCGUAAAGCGUGGCGUAGGUGGUUGUUUAAGUCUGUUGUGAAAGCCCUGGGCUCAACCUGGGAAUUGCAGUGGAUACUGGGCGACUAGAGUGUGGUAGAGGGGUAGUGGAAUUCCCGGUGUAGCAGUGAAAUGCGUAGAGAUCGGGAGGAACAUCCAUGGCGAAGGCAGCUACCUGGACCAACACUGACACUGAGGCACGAAAGCGUGGGGAGCAAACAGGAUUAGAUACCCUUGGUAGUCCACGCCCUAAACGAUGCGAACUGGAUGUUGGGUGCAAUUUGGCACGCAGUAUCGAAGCUAACGCGUUAAGUUCGCCGCCUGGGGAGUACGGUCGCAAGACUGAAACUCAAAGGAAUUGACGGGGGCCCGCACAAGCGGUGGAGUAUGUGGUUUAAUUCGAUGCAACGCGAAGAACCUUACCUGGUCUUGACAUAUGUCGAGAACUUUCCAGAGAUGGAUUGGUGCCUUCGGGAACUCGAACACAGGUGCUGCAUGGCUGUCGUCAGUCUCGUGUCGUGAGAUGUUGGGUUAAGUCCCGCAACGAGCGCAACCCUUGUCCU
rnacentral:rRNA from 1 species